GGCUCAUGGGGUCGAUGAAGAACGCAGCCAACUGUGUGAAUUAAUGUGAACUGCAAACUGCCUUGAGCAUCGACUUCUUGAACGCAAAUUGCGGCAUUAAGCCCUGCCUG
rnacentral:rRNA from 1 species